GCAGAGUGUGUGUUUGUAUGAGUGUGUGUGUGUAUAAUGCAGAGUGUGUGUUUGUAUGAGUGUGUGUGCGUAUAUAAUGCAGAGUGUGUGUUUGUAUGAGUGUGUGUGCGUAUAUAAUGCAGAGUGUGUGUUUGUAUGAGUGUGUGUGCGUAUAUAAUGCAGAGUGUGUGUUUGUAUGAGUGUAUGUGCGUAUAUAAUGCAGAGUGUGUGUUUGUAUGAGUGUGUGUGCGUAUAUAAUGCAGAGUGUGAGUGUUUGUAUGAGUGUGUGUGUAGAAUGCAGAUUGUUUGUAUGAGUGUGUGUGUGUAUAAUGCAGUGUGUGUGUUUGUAUGAGUGUGUGUGUGUAUAUAAUUCUAAAAAUCACAGAAUUUCAUAGCUCCAAGUUUUACCCUCGACUUAUCCAUGAGGCAUAGCAUAUUUCACAAUUGUUGGUCACAAAACUGCCCUCGACUUAUACAUGAGAUCGACUUAUACACGAGUAUAUACGGUAGCACAAUAUUCAAGGAACUGCAACAACACUCAGUCUCUUCAGGUAACCUGAUUCUUUACCAGACAAAGGCAGAACUUAAUAAUGGAAUGUUUCUUAAUCAUUUGCUCUCUUAGUAAAACUUCUGCCCAGGGGGUCUCUGGCAAGGAAGAUGGUGACUCAGUUUUUAGUUAGUUUUUGUUUUCGGCCCCAAGCAAGUACAGUCCACACUUCAGUAUCAUUAGAUAUAUAUACUCUGUGGAUUACCAAGCCUCGCCCAGAGACAAUAAGUGACCACCCCCUUGUGUUCCAGACCAACAUCAAUUCAAAUAGAAACAUUAGGUUCCAUCUCCUCUUAUGUACUUGCCACAUAAAUAAUAAUUGUAUCUAUGAAUUUUUGUACCAUUUUUCCAUUCCAUAGAUAUGUCACAUUCCUUACUUGUGACCUAAUAUAGCGGACAUCACAGUCCCGCCCAAAUAGAUUAAGACACGCAAUUCAUGUUUAGGCUUGAUUAGAAGAUUGUGCAUGUCCCAUUCUAAAAAUAAUAAAAAUAAAGCUUAAUUAUUAAUCUGUGGGUAAGUAUUAAUGUAUCCUUUGGAUAGGAUACUGGAACACAAGGGAUUUCUUGAAGGCUAAUGGCCAUUAACAUAUCAAAGAAGUGAACAAUCGAUUAAUAGUUUCAGGACAUAUGGUCGAAGUCAGUUAGUUUACAUUGAAACCAGACAUAUCGGCAGCUCAAGUGUAGAGUUUCACAUGUGCAGAGCCUUUGAUUAAUCAAAGGAUCAAUCCAUGUUGUAAACCAUCUGACCCUUUUCACAUUCCGAUACAAUUUACAUUACCCCUUCUGUCAUCUGACCUCUACCAAGUGGCCAAUUCAUAUAUGCACUAAAGAAAUUACAUUAAAUGGCAAUAUUCUAUAGUGCAACAAUGAAUUAUGCACCCCUGGCGUGACACAUGGUAUUUCAGUCCUUAAUUCUGUAGAACCCAGUGCUUAGUGAAUAACACAGGGAAGGUUGGAAUUCAGGCCCAGUGCAGGCUUGAUUUACAGUGCGUCCUCUGCUGAGUACGAGGCUCAGCGCAGGUUUGGAGACUGCCCAGUUAUAGUGCGCUCUCUAAUAGGGGGAAG